AUUGAACGCUGGCGGCAGGCUUAACACAUGCAAGUCGAGCGGAGAUGAGGUGCUUGCACCUUAUCUUAGCGGCGGACGGGUGAGUAAUGCUUAGGAAUCUGCCUAUUAGUGGGGGACAACAUUCCGAAAGGGAUGCUAAUACCGCAUACGUCCUACGGGAGAAAGCAGGGGAUCUUCGGACCUUGCGCUAAUAGAUGAGCCUAAGUCGGAUUAGCUAGUUGGUGGGGUAAAGGCCUACCAAGGCGACGAUCUGUAGCGGGUCUGAGAGGAUGAUCCGCCACACUGGGACUGAGACACGGCCCAGACUCCUACGGGAGGCAGCAGUGGGGAAUAUUGGACAGUGGGGGUACCCUGAUCCAGCCAUGCCGCGUGUGUGAAGAAGGCCUUAUGGUUGUAAAGCACUUUAAGCGAGGAGGAGGCUACUGAGACUAAUACUCUUGGAUAGUGGACGUUACUCGCAGAAUAAGCACCGGCUAACUCUGUGCCAGCCGCCGCAGUAAUAC
rnacentral:rRNA from 1 species